GACAGAGGGGGCAAGCGUUGUUCGGAAUUACUGGGCGUAAAGGGCUCGUAGGUGGCCAACUAAGUCAGACGUGAAAUCCCUCGGCUUAACCGGGGAACUGCGUCUGAUACUGGAUGGCUUGAGUUUGGGAGAGGGAUGCGGAAUUCCAGGUGUAGCGGUGAAAUGCGUAGAUAUCUGGAGGAAUACCGGUGGCGAAGGCGGCAUCCUGGACCGAGAUUGACGCUGAUGAGCGAAAGCUAGGGGGGCAAACGGG
rnacentral:rRNA from 1 species